UAGGAAUUUUGGACAAUGGGGGCAACCAUGAUCCAGCCAUGCCGCGUGAGUGAAGAAGGCCUUCGGGUUGUAAAGCUCUUUCGGACGGAAAGAAAUCGCCGCCUCUAACAUAGGCGGAGGAUGACGGUACCG
rnacentral:rRNA from 1 species